AUACGUAGGGGGCGAGCGUUGUCCGGAAUGAUUGGGCGUAAAGGGCGCGUAGGCGGCCCGGUAAGUCUGGAGUGAAAGUCCUGUUUUUCAGAUGGGAAUUGCUUUGGAUACUGUCGGGCUUGAGGGCAGGAGAGGUAAGUGGAAUUCCCAGUGUCGCGGUGAAAUGCGUAGAGAUUGGGAGGAACACCAGUGGCGAAGGCGACUUACUGGACUGUAACUGACGCUGAGGCGCGAAAGUGUGGGGAGCAAACAGGAUUAGAUACCCUGGUAGUCCACACUGUAAACGAUGAAUACUAGGUGUGGGGGGACUGACCCCCUCCGUGCCGCAGUUAACACAAUAAGUAUUCCACCUGGGGAGUACGGCCGCAAGGUUGAAACUUAAAGGAAUUGACGGGG
rnacentral:rRNA from 1 species